CGAUUAUCAUGUUCAAUUUUAGGCCUUAUAAACAAAUUGCGUUUUACAACAACACUUCUGCGCUUCUUUUAACGGAUUGGAAGAUCCUCGCGAAAGUUAUUCACAUUUAAAAAAAUAAUUCCUCGAUGUGUGAGCAGCGUCUCGAAACGGCAAAAGUAUCGGCCUAUAUUGCAUCAGCUUAUAUCUCUUAUAUACCGCAUUCAAAGUAAAGCCACAAGAUAAGUUCCAAAAACUUAUGCGAAUAAUGGGAACUUCGCAACGUCGCAUUUCUCUACGUGGCAAUUGGCAUAUCUGCAAUUCUCCAUAUUCGGUCAACAGAAAGACCUGCUGAGUCUCACCUUGAAAGAAGAGUCACAUGACACGUUAGCAUUUUAGUGUUAAAAUCGACUUCGCGAGCACCAGAACUCUCUCGUCAUGAUGUCUGCAACGAUUCCUAGUUCAACUAUCUUAACUAUUGCUUUAUUCGUUUUCCUUUUUGCUCAAAUACUUUGCAUUCCACAGUACUUCGGGAAAAGUAAAGCUGAUGAACCUUGUGACCCGAAAUUGGCUGAUUGCACCCAAAAUUUUGUUACUGCCUCAGCUCCAUCUUCUGUUUCAUCUGCUCAAUGCCCGUUUGGCUAUGUACGUGAUCGUUCCGGAACAUGUAGACGAAACCCAUAUAUCGGAUAGAACCAACUGAAAAUAACGGGAAAACUGGACCAAUUAUUCGCGUUUUUAACAGUCAUGCCUGAAAUUUUCUUUUGCGGAUUAACUGCUCUGUAUGAAUUAAUUUCAAGUUGACGAAUUAUAUAAUAAUAAUUGAACUAUACCCCAUUUUAAAGUCCCCUUUAUCGCCUUUUCUUUCCCUCUUCUUCUUUUUCUUCAUUCUCCUUUUUCAGUUUCCCACCUUAUUUACCACACCCUUUUAGCGUGUUAAGUACGGUUUGCACAACUGCUUGUUAUUUAUAAUUUUUCAUUUGUGGUUGUUAAAUAAAUAAAAACAAAAACGCGAA